GCGGCGGGCGGCCGACUCCAACGUUGAGCGCAGGCCGGCGGGCGGGUGGUGGCCGCUCCGGACGCUCCAGCUGCACUUGCUCCGGGCGCUGGUGCUCGGGAGAAAUCAGCUGAUAACUUUAUUCCCCGGUAUGUUGUGAUUAAGCAGAGCAAUUCACUUCCGUGGUGGUCUUCCCCGAAAUACACAACUGCAGGCUGAUUUUGAGGAAAACAUUAGACAAACCCAAAUUGGCAGAUCUCUACCAAGUGCCUGACCAACCCUCUUCACAACUACCAUGAUCACAAACAAGGAAAGACUGAGAAACUUUCCCAGACCAGAGGAGACUUAAUGACUAAGUACAGUGUGGUGUCCUAAGUUGAUUCUGAAACAGAAAAGCUAUUCAUGUGAAAAGUGGUGAAAUCCAAUAAAGUCUAUAGCUUACUGAACAGUCAUGUACCAAUAACUUAAUUAGUUUUGACAUAUGUACCAUUGUUAUUUAAGAUGUUAACUUAGGAGAAACUGGAUACUGUCUGCACUACCUUUGCAACUUAAUUUAAAAUCCAAAAUAAAAAGCUAAAAGAAAAUCUUUUCUAAUGUAAGACCGCUACUGGUUCAUUAUAAAGUAUCAAAAUGAAAAAGACCACUCUCAGUGUUGGUGAGGCUGAGGAGUAAUUAGAACUCUCGUACACUUUGAACAUGUGGUUGAACAAGUUGACUUACCAUUUUUGGAAAAUUGUUUAGCAGUAUCUAAUAAAGUUGGAUUGGUGGACCUCCCUAUGACUCUGCUAUUUCAGACCUAGUUAAACAAGGUCUUUCUCAUCACAAAAGGGUAUGUUUACUCACCAAAAGACAUCACGGCAUCCCUAUAAUCUAUUAGUCCCAAGUUGGAAACAGCUCAAAUAUCCAUUGAUGAUAAAGUGGCAAAUAAAUGGUGGUAUAUUCAAACAAUAUAAUGCUUUACAACAAUGAACUUGAACUGACUUGCAACCAAAAACACCUUAGAAGAAACUACAAAAUAGAACGUGUAGGGAUGUUCACAUCCCCAUCUUCCAUGGUGGGGUGGUGAGAGAUAAAGGCUGGACCAUCUGGGUCAAGCAAAUGUAGGAUUGAGUGUAUCUGUGGCCCUCUGCAGUGCGCCCCCAAAUCCAUCCUGAGUCAAACACACCAGUACAGGGGCUUGGCAAAUUGUUUCCGCCGCCACUCAAUUUUUUUUUUUUGUAUCACGUAAAUGCUCGCUUAUAUUACACAACAAUAGCAACUCACCAUUCACAGUCUUUAAGGUCAAGCCUGAAGAUUUUAAUUAGGUGUAUAGCAAAACCACAAAGAAAAAAGUGUUUUCCAAAUAAACCUUUUGAAAUGAGUAAAGAACUAUAUCAUUGCCUGUAGAUGAUGUAUUUCAAUUCAGUGUUAAAUAGACUGUGUGUAUUUACUCAAGACUUAAAUCAGUAUAGAUCUAAAAAGGAAUUAGUCAUUGUAUCUAACAAUAAUCUGUCUCAUAAAUUGUAAUGUUCUCUGUAGGGCUUGUCUGUUUGAUUUUACUUGAGGCAAGAAUUUCAAAUUGUAUACCUAAAAAGAUAACAGAUAUAAUUAUCUAAAUCUAGAACAACUGAAAAUGUUUCACCCAAAUAAUUGGAUAUUUUUG